UACAGAGGGUGCGAGCGUUGUCCGGAAUCACUGGGCGUAAAGGGCGCGUAGGUGGUGGCUUAAGCGUGCGGUGAAAGCUCGGGGCUCAACCCCGAGUCGGCCGUGCGAACUGGGCUCACUGGAGCAUAGUAGAGGCAGGUGGAAUUCCCGGUGUAGCAGUGAAAUGCGUAGAUAUCGGGAGGAACACCAGUGGCGAAGGCGGCCUUCUGGACCAGUACUGACGCUCAUGCACGAAAGCGUGGGGAGCAAACAGG
rnacentral:rRNA from 1 species